rnacentral:rRNA from 1 species
CAGCGCCACGGUAAUACGUAGGGUGCAAGCGUUAAUCGGAAUUACUGGGCGUAAAGCGUGCGCAGGCGGUUCUACAAGACAGAUGUGAAAUCCCCGGGCUCAACCUGGGAACUGCAUUUGUGACUGUAGAGCUGGAGUGCGGCAGAGGGGGAUGGAAUUCCGCGUGUAGCAGUGAAAUGCGUAGAUAUGCGGAGGAACACCGAUGGCGAAGGCAAUCCCCUGGGCCUGCACUGACGCUCAUGCACGAAAGCGUGGGGAGCAAACAGGAUUAGAUACCCCGGUAGUCCCUGUCUCUUAUACA